rnacentral:rRNA from 1 species
GACGAACGCUGGCGGCGUGCCUAAUACAUGCAAGUAGAACGCUGAAGGAGGAGCUUGCUUCUCUGGAUGAGUUGCGAACGGGUGAGUAACGCGUAGGUAACCUGCCUGGUAGCGGGGGAUAACUAUUGGAAACGAUAGCUAAUACCGCAUAAUAGUAGAUGUUGCAUGACAUUUGCUUAAAAGGUGCAAUUGCAUCACUACCAGAUGGACCUGCGUUGUAUUAGCUAGUUGGUGGGGUAACGGCUCACCAAGGCGACGAUACAUAGCCGACCUGAGAGGGUGAUCGGCCACACUGGGACUGGGACACGGCCCAGACUCCUACGGGAGGCAGCAGUAGGGAAUCUUCGGCAAUGGACGGAAGUCUGACCGAGCAACGCCGCGUGAGUGAAGAAGGUUGUCGGAUCGUAAAGCUCUGUUGUAAGAGAAGAACGAGUGUGAGAGUGGAAAGUUCACACUGUGACGGUAUCUUACCAGAAAGGGACGGCUAACUACGUG